AGGAUUUCUGUAAUCUUUCCCAUGAUGCUCCUGAAUCCGGAAGUUAGGUAACUGAUCGACCUGAGCGUCAGUGACAACAUGCACGGUGACCUUUCCACCCAUCUGCACACUGAAGAGUGCAACCAGCUUAUCCAAGCCCUGCAGAAGUGUCACAUAGAAAACCCAUUUGGAAGAUUCUUGGGAAAGUGCAAUGAGCAGAAUGCCCUGAUGGACAGAUGUCUUGCACAAGAGAGACAAGAAAACAGAAGGAAAAACAGAGAAAAGGCUCAGGAGAAGAAGAAGAAAUUGCAAGAGGCACUACAAGUACAAAGAAAAAAGGCUGAAGAGAAUGCUAGAUAAUCAAUAAUUUAAUUAUGAUGAGAAAUAUACAUUUUAGUGCAUAACACUAACAUUUAACAGCUUCAUGGUGCAUGAUCAAUGAAAAACUUAAUGGUCAUAGAUUUAAACUUUUUCAGUACAUGUUCAACUGAAAGUAGGAUGUCAUUUUAACAUAUAACUACUCAGGGUUCAAAAUACUGUUCGGCAUCAACUUGUACAAUAAAAAGUAUUUCUAUGUUUUGAAAUUGAAAUACUCAUAGUAAAAAUAAUGAUGCAAUGUGUUUUUGUAUUAUAAACAUCAACACAUGUAUUAGACAGAAUUUGAAUAUACUCUCAAGACAUUACUGUAUACAUAUGGCAUCAUUCAAGCUUGUUGACUCCUUCAAUGCUGCAUGUUGACUCCUAACUUUAUCCUUAACUGCCCAUUCUAAAUAUAAUCCUGUUGAUAAGUUACAUGUUCUUUUUCAAAACAACAAUGGAAUUGUAACUAUUGUAGUUCUAAA